UGUGCCAGCAGCCGCGGUAAUACGUAGGGUGCAAGCGUUGUCCGGAAUUAUUGGGCGUAAAGAGCUCGUAGGCGGUUUGUCGCGUCUGCUGUGAAAUCCCGAGGCUCAACCUCGGGCUUGCAGUGGGUACGGGCAGACUAGAGUGCGGUAGGGGAGAUUGGAAUUCCUGGUGUAGCGGUGGAUGCGCAGAUAUCAGGAGGACACCGAUGGCGAAGGCAGAUCUCUGGGCCGUAACUGACGCUGAGGAGCGAAAGCAUGGGGAGCGAACAGGAUUAGAUA
rnacentral:rRNA from 1 species